AAAGGAAUAGACGGGGGCCCGCACAAGCAGUGGAGUAUGUGGUUUAAUUCGAAGCAACGCGAAGAACCUUACCAGGUCUUGACAUCCGACUAACGAAGUAGAGAUACAUUAGGUGCCCUUCGGGGAAAGUCGAGACAGGUGGUGCAUGGUUGUCGUCAGCUCGUGUCGUGAGAUGUUGGGUUAAGUCCCGCAACGAGCGCAACCCUUGUCAUUAGUUGCUACGCAAGAGCACUCUAAUGAGACCGCUAUCGACAAGAUGGAGGAAGGUGGGGACGACGUCAAAUCAUCAUGCCCUUUAUGACCUGGGCUACACACGUACUACAAUGGCCGUCAACAGAGGGAUGCAAGUCCGCGAGGAGGAGCGAACCCCUAAAAACGGUCCCAGUUCAGAUUGUAGGCUGCAACUCGCCUAUAUGAAGUUGGAAUUGCUAGUAAUCGCGAAUCAGCAUGUCGCGGUGAAUACGUUCCCGGGCCUUGUACACACCGCCCGU
rnacentral:rRNA from 1 species